rnacentral:tRNA from 1 species
GAUUCCGUAGUGUGAGGUUAUCACAUCUGCCUAACACGCAGAAGGUCUCCGGUUCGAGCCCGGGCGGAAUCA